GAUGAACGCUGGCGGCGUGCCUAAUACAUGCAAGUCGAGCGAACGGACGAGAAGCUUGCUUCUCUGAUUUUAGCGGCUGACGGGUGAGUAACCCGUGGAUAACCUACCUCUAAUACUGGGAUAACUUCGGGAAACCGGAGCUAAUACCGGAUAAUAUUUUGAACCGCAUGGUUCAAAAGUGAAAGACGGUCUUGCUGUCACUUAUAGAUGGAUCCGCGCUGCAUUAGCUAGUUGGUAAGGUAACGGCUUACCAAGGCAACGAUGCAUAGCCGACCUGAGAGGGUGAUCGGACAAACUGGAACUGAGACACGGUACAGACUCCUACGGGAGGAAGCAGUAGGGAAUCUUCCGCAAUGGGCGAAAGCCUGACGGAGCAACGCCGCGUGAGUGAUGAAGGGCUUCGGAUCGUAAAACUCUGUUAUUAGGGAAGAACAUAUGUGUAAGUAACUGUGCACAUCUUGACGGUACCUAAUCAGAAAGCCACGGCUAACUACGUG
rnacentral:rRNA from 1 species